GGUCAACUUCCAACUUCCAGCGGACGGACACGGAGGAAAGGUCUUUACCAUAGACUGUAUAAAAACAGGUCCUUACUGCCACCAGUUGAGGUCAAUGAUUCAGGGAAGAGACAGUCUGGGCAGCAGCAACAAGACAACUAUU